AUUGAACGCUGGCGGCAUGCCUUACACAUGCAAGUCGAACGGCAGCAUGAUCUAGCUUGCUAGAUUGAUGGCGAGUGGCGAACGGGUGAGUAAUACAUCGGAACGUGCCCUGUAGUGGGGGAUAACUAGUCGAAAGAUUAGCUAAUGCCGCAUACGACCUGAGGGUGAAAGUGGGGGACCGCAAGGCCUCAUGCUAUAGGAGCGGCCGAUGUCUGAUUAGCUAGUUGGUGAGGUAAAGGCUCACCAAGGCGACGAUCAGUAGCUGGUCUGAGAGGACGAUCAGCCACACUGGGACUGAGACACGGCCCAGACUCCUACGGGAGGCAGCAGUGGGGAAUUUUGGACAAUGGGCGAAAGCCUGAUCCAGCAAUGCCGCGUGUGUGAAGAAGGCCUUCGGGUUGUAAAGCACUUUUGUCCGGAAAGAAAUGGCUCUGGUUAAUACCUGGGGUCGAUGACGGUACCGGAAGAAUAAGGACCGGCUAACUACGUG
rnacentral:rRNA from 1 species